UCCUCCAUUUUCUCGUCGGAAUCAGGCAUAGCUUGGUCUUUAGUGAUCUCUGCUUCAGCGGUCAGGGUUAGGGAUUCGUUUUGUUCCAUCCCGACCACAAAAACUGAUACAGGGAGAGGGAUGGAUGUUUUAUGUCAAUCUUUAACAAGGAUCGGACAGACAGUAAGACAGAACAGGACAACCACUCAUACAAGCACCAGACAAUGGAGCAGGUCAGACUCUACUCAGAACUCUGAAUCAGAUUUCAAAAACAAUGAAAAGCUCAAUUAGCCUGUGUUCACUUCAGGGUGCUGUACUGUUUACGGAGAUUGGAGAGCGAGGAAUGGAAGGUAAUUACACGUUCACUUGAAGUGAAUUGCACGGAUGGAAUUGAGGGAGAUUGCAGGAUUCUUCUACUAUUCAUUCACCCGCAUAUCUGAGGAGAUUUGGAAGGAUCAAAUGCACUUUCUCUAAAAUGCCCUUGUGAGUGAAUAAAAUUCUCAUAUGAAUAAAAUGCCCCUGGAAGGCUGGUGUUGGGGUUUCGUGAGACCAAAGGAGAUGGAAGGAGAGGUGCGUGAUGCCUAUUGCGACAGCGUGGUUAGCUUCGAUCAAUGGCGUGGUAACGGCCAGCUGGAGAAGAUGCUCGAAAGAAGCUUAUCAAUCUCACUGCGGAGUACCUCCUCUGUCUUCUCCACCGCCGUGCUCCCAUCUGCGUCAACACUACACUGCCGCCAUAUAUUACCUAAAAAAAAACCUUGCUCUCACUACACCUUCUUUUCUUAUCCACCAGAAAAAACCCUUUUCUAAGCUAACCCUUUUUUCUUUCAAUAAUACUUUAUUUUUUCUUAUUUAUAAAAUGCUCUUUUUUUAAUAACCGUGUUAAGUUAGUUUCUAUUUUUUUAAAGUUUUUAUUUAUUUUAAGUUUUUAUUUAUUAAUAGCAUGUAUUAAUUUAUAGUUUCUCUUAAGUAUUUUAUUUUUUAAAAUUUUAUGCAUUUAAAAAUAAAUUUAUUUUACUAAAUUAUAAUUUUUUUCUUUUUAAAAAUUAAUUUUAGUCAUUAUUUUUAAUUUUUUAUUCUUUAUAAACAUUUUUAUAUUUAAAUAUAACAUUAACAAUUAUCAUUUUAUAUUACUUUAGUAAUUAAGGACAUUUUGGUAAUCUUUAAUUUAUAUUAAUUAAACCAAUUUUUUAAAAUUAUCACAUCAAUCAAAUUCUACACUAAUUCUCACAUACUUUACUUCCAAAUCCACUCUCAAUUAUCUUCAAAUCCAUUCAAGUAAACACAAAAAAAAAUCACCCUCAAAUCCUCUCAAAUCCACUCAAUCACUCUUUCCCAAAUCAUCUCUCCCUAUCACCCUAAAGUAAACACACCCUUAAAGAAACAGCAGAACAGAAGUCACAUGUAUUGGACAAAACCAACACAGCCAACAAGACAAGCAAGAAAACAGGGUAAUUUAUAAAGGCUGGCAUGCAAAUUGAACCUAAGGAAUAGAACUAGAUCAGAUUUUAAAGCAAUAAAAAGGACCUAAGUUGAACCAAUACUGAACAGAUUUGAUUUACAUAUUGCAUACCAAACUGUUUAACAUUGUGCAUCAGAGAAACUGGUUUUAUUUUUCAUAUUUGAUGUUCUACAUUAGAUGCCGCUAUUGUGAAUUGCACUAAGUCCUUCAACUCUUUUUUUUAUUAUGACUUGUCACAAUAGGAUUAAUCCUUGUCUGUUUCAAAUGUGAUUGACUUAUAGCUCUUGNUACAAUUCACAAUAGACGAAGAUCAAUGCAGUUUACAAAUCAACACUUUACUUGCAUCAGAUUAAUGGUUCAACUUAAUAAGAAAAAGAACACAUACAGAAUUGGUUUCAUUGAUAACUUUUGCUUCUAGCAUCAAAUGAAUAUCUGAACAUAACAGUGUCUUAAAAAUAGUAGAAUUACUAUUGCUAAGCUCACUGGUAUAUCAGAAUUGUCAUAUGCAACUGCAGCUUUUGAAGCAUAAAAAUUCACAUUUAACCAAAACUGUAGAAAGUGAAUUUGAAUAACAAAACAGCAAACACAAAUGACUCAAAGAUAGAGAUUAUAAACUGAACUUAGUAAGGAACUAAUACUAAGCAUAUUUGUCAAAAUAUCAUAGCUCAUAUAUGGUGAACAGAACUUACUCAGUGCAGAAAACUCAAAUGAAUCACAAAACACAAGCAACAGCUAGUUAAGCUCGAAUUUAAUUGACAAUUAAACGAAGCACAAGACUAGAACAUGACAGAAAUGUGAUUUCAAACUUAAAAAGACUCAAUAACAUAGAACCACCGAAUUAAAAUGAUGAAAUCAGACUCAAAGCACUGACUCAAAGCUUAAAACAAACACAGAUUACGCAAACUUGGAGACCUAACACAUAAAUGUAGAAUCAAGAACGAACAACAGAUUGAAUCCCAUUCAGACCUUUAAUCAAAUAGUUCAUGAGCAACAGUAAACAUAAUACUCAAGACAAUGAAGGCAAAGCUAUGAACAACGCGGAAAAAUUAACACAAAACGCAACAGGAUACUCAGAAUCAUAUGAAACUCAGACAAGACCGAAUCAAGAAAACACGAAACAGAGACACUUACCUUUGAAGCGUGGACACAACCUGGUGCUCUGAUGACCACUUGAUUGAAGAAGGCUCCAAGAAAAGGCCGUUUGAGACUGUGCGAAGACAAACUGGACCUCUUCGAAGCUUCUCCGAUGAAGAAAACGCAGCGGAAUGUUGAUACGCAGCUCUAGAUCGAGAUGAAUCGAAGGAAAAACUAAGAAACACAGGAUGAUCUGACAGAAACCCUAAAUCCCCAAAUUAAACGGUAGAAAACCCUAGAACGAAGAAGAAACCCUAAAAUUGGUGAGGCGACUCAAUCAAACCGAUUAAUCGGUUCAAAACAGUGGUUGAACGGU
rnacentral:lncRNA from 1 species